GAUGAACGCUAGCUACAGGCUUAACACAUGCAAGUCGAGGGGAAACGAUAGAGAAAGCUUGCUUUUUCUAGGCGUCGACCGGCGCACGGGUAAGUAACGCGUAUCCAACCUGCCCAUCACUUGGGGAGAACCUUGCGAAAGUAAGACUAAUACCCAAUGACGUCUCUAGAAGACAUCUGAAAGAGAGUAAAGAUUUAUCGGUGAUGGAUGGGGAUGCGUCUGAUUAGCUUGUUGGCGGGGUAACGGCCCACCAAGGCGACGAUCAGUAGGGGUUCUGAGAGGAAGGUCCCCCACAUUGGAACUGAGACACGGUCCAAACUCCUACGGGAGGCUGCAGUGAGGAAUAUUGGUCAAUGGACGAGAGUCUGAACCAGCCAAGUAGCGUGCAGGAUGACGGCCCUAUGGGUUGUAAACUGCUUUUAUAAGGGAAUAAAGUGGGAGUCGUGACUCCUUUUGCAUGUACCUUAUGAAUAAGGACCGGCUAAUUCCGUGCCAGCAGCCGCCGUAA
rnacentral:rRNA from 1 species